UGCAGUCGAACGGAUCCUUCGGGAUUAGUGGCAGACGGGUGAGUAACGCGUGGGAAGCUACCUUGUGGUAGGGGACAACAGUUGGAAACGACUGCUAAUACCCUAUGAGCCCUAUGGGGGAAAGAUUUAUCGCCAUGAGAUGUGCCCGCGUUAGAUUAGCUAGUUGGUAAGGUAAUGGCUUACCAAGGCGACGAUCUAUAGCUGGUCUGAGAGGAUGAUCAGCCACACUGGGACUGAGACACGGCCCAGACUCCUACGGGAGGCAGCAGUGGGGAAUAUUGGACAAUGGGGGCAACCCUGAUCCAGCCAUGCCGCGUGUGUGAUGACGGCCUUAGGGUUGUAAAGCACUUUCAGCAGUGAAGAUAAUGACAUUAACUGCAGAAGAAGCCCCGGCUAACUUCGUGCCAGCAGCCGCGGUAAUACGAAGGGGGCUAGCGUUGUUCGGAAUCACUGGGCGUAAAGAGUACGUAGGCGGACUGAUAAGUUAGGGGUGAAAUCCCAAGGCUCAACCUUGGAACUGCCUUUGAUACUGUCAGUCUUGAGAUCGAGAGAGGUGAGUGGAACUCCGAGUGUACAGGUGAAAUUCGUAGAUAUUCGGAAGAACACCAGUGGCGAAGGCGGCUCACUGGCUCGAUACUGACGCUGAGGUACGAAAGCGU
rnacentral:rRNA from 1 species